AUUGAACGCUGGCGGCAGGCCUAACACAUGCAAGUCGAGCGAGCGGCGGACGGGAGAGUAAUGCCUGGGAAUGGCCCAGUCGAGGGGGAUAACAGGUGGAAACGACUGCUUAUACCGCAGACGAGGGGGAUGCCCAGGUGGGAUUAGCUAGUGGGGGAGGUAAGGGCCCACCAAGGCGACGAUCCCUAGCUGGUCUGAGGGGAUGAUCAGCCACACUGGAACUGAGACACGGUCCGGACUCCUACGGGAGGCAGCAGUGGGGAAUAUUGCACAAUUGGGGCAACCCUGAUGCAGCCAUGCCGCGUGAGUGAAGAAGGCCUUCGGGUUGUAAAGCACUUUCAGCGAGGAGGCGUUACUCGCAGAAGAAGCACCGGCUAACUCCGUGCCAGCAGCCGCGGUAAUAC
rnacentral:rRNA from 1 species